ACACUUCUACUGCAUGAAAAGCAAGCUAAUAAUAUCCUGUCAGAAAGGAAAUCAAUCACAGCCUUGUCAGCCACUACACAAGAGCCACAGAUAGCAAAAUUUCUUGUCGCUGAGGAAGGUCCAGCUCAGGAAGAUUCUGAUUUGUGUCAGGAAGGAAAUAAUGGAUGUAUGCAUCAAUAUAUUCAUACAAAGCAAAUUGCCAACAGGUAUCAAUCAGAAGCAUGUUUUGAAAACUCACAGAAGACCAGAGAACCAAUUUGUCAGAAUACCCUUCAGUUGGUGCCUAACAUCCUCUCCAAUUCCAUUGAAGCAGCAAAGGGUUCCAAGAGAAAAUAUCGCAAAAGAACUCAGAAGCAACAUGACUCAGCCACAAAUUCAUGUGAUACUUCCUUGUGCCAAGAGACUUUACAAGCACAUGGAAAUUUCAGAGGUGCAACUCCUGCCAAAGAUGUUAUUAAAAAACAGAAGAUUAAAAAAACUCAAAAUAGACACAAUGCAAAAAUCAGUGGAAGGUCUUCCAGCCAAAUAAUGUCUAAAGAGAAAAUUGGAUUUCAUACACAGUCUAAUGAAGAAAUACCAUAUAUCUGUAUUGAAAGUAAUAGAUUUGUAGAGCAGCAAAACAAUGGAACCCUCACUGGGGAAUGCUUUGCUAUCUCAGGUAAUGCAUGUUUUAUAAAAGGAAUGCAGUUUUCAGAAAACAUAUUUAUAUAGUAAUAAUUAACUGUUUCUUAAUUUUCAGAGGAACAUUCUAAUUUGAUAGAUGAGAUAAUUUGUCGACCGAAUGAUCUCAAACUUAGGGAGAGCAACAUGUCAGAGAUGGAAGGACUAAAGGCACUAGUCCCAUAUAAUGGAGAUCGUUCUGUUGUACCCUAUCAGGAGUUUGAAUUACUUAAAAAACAUAAACCAAGGCCUAAAGUGGAUCUUGAUGCAGAAACAGAGAGAACCUGGAAACUAUUGAUGGGCAAAGUAGGAAGUGAAGGCCUUGAAGAAACUGACAAGGAAAAAGAGAAGUGGUGGGACAAAGAAAGAAAUGUUUUUCACGGACGAGUUGAUUCUUUCAUUGCACGGAUGCAUCUUAUUCAAGGUAAGAUACAUCAUACACAAACAUCAAGUACCAAGAAGCCCAAAACAAGCAGAUACUGUAUGCACUCAAGACAGACAUUUUAUUACUUUCUAUAAUAUCUAUAACACCUCUCUUUCUUUGAAAAUAAAGAUAGUUAGCAUUGAACUUCUCAUUCUAAAGAUAUUGGAUUUAUCAAAAUGUGUUGGAAUUAUCGGUUUAGGUAGGGAAGAUAGAAAAAUGAUUAAUCAGAUACAAUACCCUAACUUAAUACUCCAAUCAUAAUAUUAAUUAGGUUGAGUAAUAGUACUACUACCACAAUGAUGGAAAGUCACCUUAAUUGUUGUCCUCCCUAGCUCGCUGCUUUAAUUACAGCCUCACUGGUGGUGGUUUAUCCCACAUCGACUAGUGAUGAGGCUAUUUUUUUGGGGGAGGGGGGCUUACAAGACAGUUUUGAAGGGAUUCAAUUAGGCUCAUAACCCAUGUUCUAAGACACAAGCACAAACCUACUUAUAUUAGGAUUAAUAACUGUAAUAUUCGAACAGCAUGCAUUCUAAAGAACAGUUAAACAUAAAGGAAUAGAAACAUCUAGAGGCACCCAGCCAUGAAUAGACAAUAAAAUCCUUAAUAUUUUCAGUAACAGCCCUUCAGCAUAUUUAUUAAUGGCAAAAACAGAAACCAAUGAUUUAUUAAAUUAUUCACUUGAUUGCUAAAACUUUUCACCUGUCAACAUAUAUUUAUAAAAUCAAUUAUACCUCUACUUUGCAGGAGAUAGACGCUUUUCAAAGUGGAAAGGAUCUGUUGUUGACUCAGUGAUAGGUGUUUUCCUCACUCAGAAUGUUUCAGAUCAUCUUUCAAGGUAAGCUAAAUAUCAUAUAUAGGUGUUUUCCUCACUCAGGAUGCUUCAUCAAAAUUGCCAAUGCUAGAACAUGAUGAUGAGCAACCCAACAGAAAAAUUUAUGCUUCUUUCCUUUCUUUGCAGCUCU
rnacentral:lncRNA from 1 species